AUGAUGCUGAUUCUUGUACCAACAACUGUGAUACUUUUUGCCCUGAGAGGAGCUGGAGCCCAGUUAGUGACCCAGCCUAGUGGCCCCAUCACUGUCUCUGAAGGAGCCUCUCUGGAGCUAAGGUGCAACUAUUCCUAUGGUGCAACUCCUUAUCUCUUCUGGUACAUCCAGUACCCUAACCAAGGUCUCCAGCUUCUCCUCAAAUAUGUGUUAAAGGAAACUCUGGUGAAAGGCAUCAAAGGGUUUGAAGCUGAAUUUAAGAAGGAUGAAACCACCUUCCACCUGAAAAAACAAUCAGCCCAUUGGAGCGACUCAGCUUGGUACUUCUGUGCUCUGAGUGACACAGUGACUGGGACUUCAGGGGGAGCUGAACACAAAUGUCUGGUGCUGGGAGGCUUUCAGUGA